rnacentral:snRNA from 1 species
UUGUAUAUGCAAAAAAUGAAAGGCUUGCAAUCAGCUUUUCGCCUUUUACUAAAGAAUACCGUGUGUUUGCCACUUAAAGCACCGUACGCCAAUUUUUUGUAACAGGGUCUUUUUCAAAGACCCA